rnacentral:rRNA from 1 species
AUUGAACGCUGGCGGCAGGCUUAACACAUGCAAGUCGAGCGGGGUGAUGGUGCUUGCACUAUCACUUAGCGGCGGACGGGUGAGUAAUGCUUAGGAAUCUGCCUAUUAGUGGGGGACAACAUUUCGAAAGGAAUGCUAAUACCGCAUACGUCCUACGGGAGAAAGCAGGGGAUCUUCGGACCUUGCGCUAAUAGAUGAGCCUAAGUCGGAUUAGCUAGUUGGUGGGGUAAAGGCCUACCAAGGCGACGAUCUGUAGCGGGUCUGAGAGGAUGAUCCGCCACACUGGGACUGAGACACGGCCCAGACUCCUACGGGGGGCAGCAGUGGGGAAUAUUGGACAAUGGGCGGAAGCCUGAUCCGGCCAUGCCGCGUGUGUGAAGAAGGCCUUUUGGUUGUAAAGCACUUUAAGCGAGGAGGAGGCUACUUAGAUUAAUACUCUAGGAUAGUGGACGUUACUCGCAGAAUAAGCACCGGCUAACUCUGUGCCAGCCGCCGCCGUAACAC